GACGAAGGGGGCUAGCGUUGUUCGGAAUUACUGGGCGUAAAGCGAGUGUAGGUGGUUGUCCAAGUUGGAUGUGAAAGCCUUGAGCUCAACUCAAGAAAUGCAUUCAGGACUGGAUGGCUAGAGGACCGGAGAGGAUAGUGGAAUUCCCAGUGUAGUGGUGAAAUACGUAGAGAUUGGGAAGAACACCAGUGGGCGAAGGCGACUACCUGGCCUGAUUCUUGACGCUGAGGCGCGAAAGCUAGGGGAGCAAACAGG
rnacentral:rRNA from 1 species